GUGAAUCAUCGAGUCUUUGAACGCAUAUGGCGCCCGCGGCUCCGGCCAAGGGCAUGCCUGCCUCAGCGUCGUCUCACCCCCAUCCUCGACCCAUUCUUUUCCGAAGGAAUGGCUGUCUUGGGAGCUGGCUUUUCCUACGGCCCAAAGCCCAAGGAUCGGCUGAAGAGCAAGCGGCCCGGCGUCCCAGUCGGCACCAGUGGUGGUGGCUCCAUGCCUCCCCUUUGGACCGAACCUGGGGCAGUCACAGGCCCUCCGUCUGUUUGCACAGAUUGGAAAGUACCAACCCAAAGAAUCGACCUGAGUUCAGGCAAGAACACCCGCUGAACUUAA
rnacentral:rRNA from 1 species